rnacentral:tRNA from 1 species
UGUGGUAUGGUGAAAUUGGUAUCACACAGGAUUUUGGCUCCUGGAUUUUGGGUUCGAGGCCUGAUACCACAACCA